ensembl:lncRNA
UUUUUCUUUUUUUUUGAGGCACAGUCUUCCUGUGUCACCCAGGCUAGAGUGCGGUGUCUUGAUCUUGGCUCAUUGCAACUUCUGCCAUCCAGGCUCAAGAAUUCUCCUGCUUCAGCCUCAUGAGUAGCUGGGUUUACAGGCGAGUGCCACCACGCCUGGCUAAUUUUGUGUUUUCAGUGGAGACAGGGUUUCACCAUGUUGGCCAGGCUUGUCUUGUCUUGACCUCCUGACCUCAGGUGAUCUGCCCACCUCAGCCUCCUACAGUGCUGGGGUUACAGGUGUGAGCCACCGUGCCCGGCCCAUUAGUUGGUUUUCUUGAUUGUCUUGCAUCCUCUGAUCCUUACCCUCCAAAAGGCUCCAGUGAGUGUUGCUCCCCUCUAUGUGUCCAUGUGUUCUCAUCGUUCAGCUCCCACUUGUAAGUGAGAACAUGUGACAUUUGGUUUUCUGUUCCUGUGUUGGUUUGCUAAAGAUAAUGGCCUCCAGCUCCAUCCAUGGUGUCUCCUCUUACUGGAUUGGUACCUCAUUUAACCGUAAUGACUUCCUUAAAGGUCCCCGCUCCAAAUACAGACGCGUAUUUGUGGAGUCAAGGCUUCACAUAUGAAUUUACAAUGGACCCAGUGAUUCCAUCCACAAUAAUAUGGCACUCAAGAUGUACUGAGAAGGACCUCAUCUCUGCAUAUCUUUUGCAUCUCCACCAUCCCUUCUCUUUUGCAUAAUAGGAUCCAAACAUUAAAUGAUACCAGACCUCUGGUAUUUUGGAGGGAUACGUUCCCAGCUCUUUGUAGUUCUAAUUGUCAGGUAUUCAGGGUGUGAAUUGGAUAACCUGAUUUCUAUCACUUACCCUUCUUCAAAAGCAUUAUACACAAGGGCAAAAGGCCCUGUUGGAUUCUUAGCUAUGACCACAUAAUAUUUCCCCAGUCCCGGGAUUCUCUGGUGAUUGGUGCUGGGGCAAGAUGCUCAGGUGUAGAAACUGAAAUGGUGACUUCUAUCUCUUGAAUCUAGAAGGGCUGGGUGAAUUAAGGAGAUGUUGAACUUGGCUAUUCAACUUUGUGGACAGCAAUAGCUGUAUGGUCCUGCCAUCUCCUUGAGUGCUAGACCUCUCUCGAAGCGAUGGCUCCCAACCAGGGACAAUUUUGGCUUCCUCCUACCUCCUUCAGGGUGUUUGGUGGCGUCUGCAGACAUGUUUGAUUGUUACCACUGGGAGAGGAUGGUGGCUCCUGGCAUCUAGUGAGUAAAGGUCAGGGAUGCUGCUUAAAUAUCCUACAAUACACAGGACCGUACCCUAACCCCAGUACUCAUGAACAGGGAGGAAUUAUUCAAACAAUAGUGCUGAGGUUGAGAAGUCCUGCUCUAGAAGUUCUGAGAGUGCAUUUACCACAUAGAGAUGGAAACCAAAGUGUCCUCCAUGCCUGGGGACAGGAAGUGAGUUUGGGAGCAGGUCUUGGCUUCUGAUACUUAAGGCUCAGCUAGCACACCCACUAGUAAAACGUGGCUCAAUCCAUGUGCCUGAUUCAGAACAAUCAGAUGGACAACAUUUCUUUCAUAAAAGGCAAGA